rnacentral:rRNA from 1 species
AAUGAACGCUGGCGGCAUGCCUUACACAUGCAAGUCGAACGGCAGCAUGACCUAGCUUGCUAGGUUGAUGGCGAGUGGCGAACGGGUGAGUAAUGCAUCGGAACGUGCCUUUUAGUGGGGGAUAACGUAGCGAAAGUUACGCUAAUACCGCAUAUUCUCUGAGGAGGAAAGCAGGGGACCUUCGGGCCUUGCGCUAGAAGAGCGGCCGAUGUCGGAUUAGCUAGUUGGUGAGGUAAAGGCUCAUCAAGGCAACGAUCCGUAGCGGGUCUGAGAGGAUGAUCCGCCACACUGGGACUGAGACACGGCCCAGACUCCUACGGGAGGCAGCAGUGGGGAAUUUUGGACAAUGGGCGCAAGCCUGAUCCAGCCAUGCCGCGUGAGUGAAGAAGGCCUUCGGGUUGUAAAGCUCUUUCGGCUGGGAAGAAAUCGCACCCUCUAAUACAGGGUGUGGAUGACGGUACCAGCAUAAGAAGCACCGGCUAACUACGUG